CCUACGGGUGGCUGCAGCGGGGAAUAUUGCGCAAUGGGCGAAAGCCUGACGCAGCAACGCCGCGUGAGGGAUGAAGGCUUUCGGGUUGUAAACCUCUUUCAGCAGGGACGAUUGUGACGGUACCUGCAGAAGAAGCCCCGGCCAACUACGUGCCAGCAGCCGCGGUAACACGUAGGGGGCGAGCGUUGUCCGGAUUUAUUGGGCGUAAAGAGCUCGUAGGUGGUUCGGUAAGUCGGGUGUGAAAACUCUGGGCUCAACUCAGAGACGCCACCUGA
rnacentral:rRNA from 1 species